rnacentral:rRNA from 1 species
CUCGCAAGAGCAAAGCAGGGGACCUUCGGGCCUUGCGCUACCGGAUAUGCCCAGGUGGGAUUAGCUAGUUGGUGAGGUAAGGGCUCACCAAGGCGACGAUCCCUAGCUGGUCUGAGAGGAUGAUCAGCCACACUGGAACUGAGACACGGUCCAGACUCCUACGGGAGGCAGCAGUGGGGAAUAUUGCACAAUGGGCGCAAGCCUGAUGCAGCCAUGCCGCGUGUAUGAGAAGGCCUCGG